UCGCUGACGAGUGGCGGACGGGUGAGUAAUGCUUGGGAACUUGCCUUUGCGAGGGGGAUAACAGUUGGAAACGACUGCUAAUACCGCAUAAUGUCUACGGACCAAACGGGGCUUCGGCUCCGGCGCAAAGAGAGGCCCAAGUGAGAUUAGCUAGUUGGUAAGGUAAAGGCUUACCAAGGCAACGAUCUCUAGCUGUUCUGAGAGGAAGAUCAGCCACACUGGAACUGAGACACGGUCCAGACUCCUACGGGAGGCAGCAGUGGGGAAUAUUGCACAAUGGGGGAAACCCUGAUGCAGCCAUGCCGCGUGUGUGAAGAAGGCCUUCGGGUUGUAAAGCACUUUCAGUUGUGAGGAAAAGUUAGUAGUUAAUACCUGCUAGCCGUGACGUUAACAACAGAAGAAGCACCGGCUAACUCCGUGCCAGCAGCCGCGGUAAUACGGAGGGUGCGAGCGUUAAUCGGAAUUACUGGGCGUAAAGCGCACGCAGGCGGUUUGUUAAGCUAGAUGUGAAAGCCCCGGGCUCAACCUGGGAUGGUCAUUUAGAACUGGCAGACUAGAGUCUUGGAGAGGGGAGUGGAAUUCCAGGUGUAGCGGUGAAAUGCGUAGAUAUCUGGAGGAACAUCAGUGGCGAAGGCGACUCCCUGGCCAAAGACUGACGCUCAUGUGCGAAAGUAUGGGUAGCGAACAGGAUUAGAUACCCUGGUAGUCCACACCGUAAACGCUGUCUACUAGCUGUUUGUGACUUUAAGUCGUGAGUAGCGAAGCUAACGCGCUAAGUAGACCGCCUGGGGAGUACGGCCGCAAGGUUAGAACUCAAAUGAAUUGACGGGGGCCCGCACAAGCGGUGGAGCAUGUGGUUUAAUUCGAUGCAACGCGAAGAACCUUACCUA
rnacentral:rRNA from 1 species